UAACGAUACUUCCGUCCAGUCACAGCCCCGCGCCAGCGGGAUCACGCAAUGAGGGCGGCUCCGGGAGAACCUCGGAGGGGUGAGAUUCCCAUGA
rnacentral:ncRNA from 1 species